rnacentral:rRNA from 1 species
GAUGAACGCUGGCGGCGUGCUUAACACAUGCAAGUCGAACGGAAAGGCCCAAGCUUGCUUGGGUACUCGAGUGGCGAACGGGUGAGUAACACGUGGGUGAUCUGCCCUGCACUUCGGGAUAAGCCUGGGAAACUGGGUCUAAUACCGGAUAGGACGAUGGUUUGGAUGCCAUUGUGGAAAGUUUUUUCGGUGUGGGAUGAGCUCGCGGCCUAUCAGCUUGUUGGUGGGGUAAUGGCCUACCAAGGCGUCGACGGGUAGCCGGCCGGAGAGGGUGUACGGCCACAUUGGGACUGGGGUACGGGCCAGACUCCUACGGGAGGCAGCAGGGGGGAAUGUUGCACAAUGGGCGCGAGCCUGAUGCAGCGGCGCCGCGUGGGGGAUGACGGCCUUCGGGUUGUGAACUCCUUUCGCUAGGGACGAAGCGUUUUUGUGACGGUACCUGGAGAAGAAGCACCGGCUAACUACGUG